rnacentral:rRNA from 1 species
AGUGAACGCUGGCGGCAGGCCUAACACAUGCAAGUCGAACGGCAGCACAGUAAGAGUUUGCUCUUACGGGUGGCGAGUGGCGGACGGGUGAGGAAUAUAUCGGAAUCUACUUUUUCGUGGGGGAUAACGUAGGGAAACUUACGCUAAUACCGCAUACGACCUACGGGUGAAAGCAGGGGAUCUUCGGACCUUGCGCGAUUGAAUGAGCCGAUGUCGGAUUAGCUAGUUGGCGGGGGAAUGGCCCACCAAGGCGACGAUCGGUAGCUGGUCUGAGAGGGUGGCCGGGCACAUUGGGACUGAGAGAGGGCCAAGACGCCUAUGGGAGGCAGCAGUGGGGAAUAUGGUACAAUGGGCGGAAGCCUGAGGCAGCAACGCCGCGUGCGGGAUGACGGCCUAGGGGUUGUAAAACGCGUUCGCCUGUGACGAAGCGUGAGUGACGGUAAUGGGUAAAGAAGCACCGGCUAACUACGUG